rnacentral:rRNA from 1 species
CUACGUGCCAGCAGCCGCGGUAAUACGUAGGGUGCGAGCGUUAAUCGGAAUUACUGGGCGUAAAGCGAGCGCAGACGGUUACUUAAGCAGGAUGUGAAAUCCCCGGGCUUAACCUGGGAACUGCGUUCUGAACUGGGUAGCUAGAGUAUGUCAGAGGGGGGUAGAAUUCCACGUGUAGCAGUGAAAUGCGUAGAGAUGUGGAGGAAUACCGAUGGCGAAGGCAGCCCCCUGGGAUAAUACUGACGUUCAUGCUCGAAAGCGUGGGUAGCAAACAGGAUUAGAUACCCUGGUAGUCCACGCCCUAAACGAUGUCGAUUAGCUGUUGGGCAGCUUGACUGCUUAGUAGCGUAGCUAACGCGUGAAAUCGACCGCCUGGGGAGUACGGUCGCAAGAUUAAAACUCAAAGGAAUUGACGGGGACCCGCACAAGCGGUGGAUGAUGUGGAUUAAUUCGAUGCAACGCGAGGAACCUUACCUGGUCUUGACAU